rnacentral:rRNA from 1 species
UACGAGGAUGGCGACGUAGCCGGUAUUCGAUUGGUUUGGUAAAGGGUGCGCAGGCGGAGGCACAAGUCAGCGGUAAAAUCGCGGGGCUCAACCCCGCUCCGCCGUUGAAACUGUGUCCCUUGAGUGCGCGAAGGGUAGGCGGAAUGCGUGGUGUAGCGGUGAAAUGCAUAGAUAUCACGCAGACUCCGAUCGCGAAGGCAGCCUACCGGCGCGCAACUGACGCUCAUGCACGAAAGCGUGGGUAUCAACAGG